AGGACAUGUAGCAUAGUUGUCUACCUCUUCUUCUGAAGGUGGAACAUAAAAUAAACAGAAGUAGAAAAGUCAAGGAGAAAGAGUUAGCAGACAGGCAGCUGACUUAGCGUGCCAGGAAAGAUAUUUCCUUGCAAGUAACUUGGUUUCAACUCCUUAAUUUCUUAUUCAGCUAAUUCUGAAUGGAAACCAAACAAGCCUUUGCUGAGGCAAGAAUUAAGUCUCGUUAAACCAGACUAGUCUUUGUUUGAACCAGGUUGCAACCAGCAAAGGAAUCAUCAAUUCAGACGAUCAAUAUAUGCAACUGUGAAAAGUAACCGCUCAUGUUUAGUCUUUGCAGAGCCCAAGACACUCUACAUCUUCAACUAGGAUAACACAGGACUGCCAGAGGCAGGACACAGAGCAGAGAAAUGCUUGAGGUUUAACACAUUAUGCUUGACACUCUGGCAUCAAGUAAGAUGACUCAACAUUUUAAGGAAUGACUCAACCUGGAAAAGCACAAGAACCACUGAUAUGUCAAGACAUUAUUUCAAGCUCAACUUAAGCAACACAACCUGUCAAAACUGUUCAAAUUAAAUUUGCCACUCUGCAACUAAUCAUUCAUGCUUAGAUUUAGUACUGUUUACAGUUGUAUUGCUUACAGAACUUGUGGCUUCUGCACACAGGAUGGUAAUCUAGAUUGCUGACUAGCAAAAUAAAGGUGAUAGUGAAGUGGUUAGUAGGUUAGGUUCAGUAAAUUGUCUUCAGGUAAGUAUAGAGGUUGCAGAAAUGUUUCCAUUUGUAUUUCACAGUAGUUUGCAUUCCAGUUCACUACACAAAAUAAUUUUUAGAAGCUAGUUAUUUCCAAGCCAAGACCAAACACAGUAGGUUCUGUUUUUACUGACUCUAUUAGUAUUGUUUGGAAUCUUUUAACCCUCCUUUUUCAUGCCAGUGACAAUAACAAAAGUAAUGCCCUUUAAUGUCCAUAGCUACACAAUUUCAGUAUGUCUCAAAUUCCAAAGAUCUGUAGAUUCAAUAACAUUUAUAAUACCAUAAGCUUAGAGUCAAAGAAUGGUUUGAGUUGGAAGGGACCCUUAAAGGCCAUCUGUCCCACUCCCUGUACUGAACAGGGACACCCACAGCUCCAUCAGUGCUCAGAGCCCUGUCCAGUCUGACCUUGGCAGUCUGCAGGGACGGGGCACCCACCAUCUCUCUGUACUGGGGACUGCACAUCUGGAUGCAGCACUCCAGGUGAGGUCUCACAGCACAGAGCAGAGGGUCAGGGUCCACUCCCUUACCCUGCUGGCCACAUUGCUUUG
ensembl:lncRNA